rnacentral:rRNA from 1 species
AGAGUUUGAUCCUGGCUCAGGAUGAACGCUAGCGAUAGGCUUAACACAUGCAAGUCGAGGGGCAGCAUGGUCUUAGCUUGCUAAGACUGAUGGCGACCGGCGCACGGGUGCGUAACGCGUAUGCAACUUGCCUCACAGAGGGGGAUAACCCGUCGAAAGACGGACUAAUACCGCGUACACUCCAUCUUGGGCAUCCAAGCUAGAGGAAAUGAAUUUCGCUGUGAGAUAGGCAUGCGUCCCAUUAGCUAGUUGGUGAGGUAACGGCUCACCAAGGCGACGAUGGGUAGGGGAACUGAGAGGUUGAACCCCCACACUGGUACUGAGACACGGACCAGACUCCUACGGGAGGCAGCAGUGAGGAAUAUUGGUCAAUGGGCGAGAGCCUGAACCAGCCAAGUCGCGUGAAGGAUGACUGUCUUAUGGAUUGUAAACUUCUUUUAUACGGGAAUAACAAGAGCCACGUGUGGCUCCCUGCAUGUACCGUAUGAAUAAGCAUCGGCUAACUCCGUGCCAGCAGCCGCGGUAAUACGGAGGAUGCGAGCGUUAUCCGGAUUUAUUGGGUUUAAAGGGUGCGUAGGCGGCCUGUUAAGUCAGCGGUGAAAUCUAGGAGCUUAACUCCUAAAUUGCCAUUGAUACUGGCGGGCUUGAGUGUAGAUGAGGUAGGCGGAAUGCGUGGUGUAGCGGUGGAAUGCAUAGAUAUCACGCAGAACUCCGAUUGCGAAGGCAGCUUACUAAGGUACAACUGACGCUGAAGCACGAAAGCGUGGGUAUCAAACAGGAUUAGAUACCCUGGUAGUCCACGCAGUAAACGAUGAUAACUGGGCGUAUGCGAUAUACAGUAUGCUCCUAAGCGAAAGCGUUAAGUUAUCCACCUGGGGAGUACGCCGGCAACGGUGAAACUCAAAGGAAUUGACGGGGGCCCG